GAUUUUCAUACAAAAAUAGAAAAAAAAAACAAUAAAUUUUGGGGGUUCCCCAUACUUGGAAAUGAAACUCAAAAAAAUUUUUUUUAUUAAACCCAUACGUGUGGAUAUCUAUGGAUAGGUCUUCAAAAAUGAUAUUGAGGUUUCUAAUAUAAUUUUUUUUCUGAACUGAAUAGUUUGCGCGAGACACUUCCAAAGUGGUAAAAUGUGUGCCCCCCCCCCCCCGUAACUUCUAAAAUAAGAGAAUGAUAAA